GGCCAGAAAUGAAAUCACUUUCAAGAACAACUAGAUCAAGAUUUAGGAAUCCAAGCUUUUUCUUCUCAAAGGACUAAUGCUGGUGUCCCUACGGGUGAAGGACAUCCUUAUGAUCGGGAUUCAGGAAUCCAAGCUUUUUCUUCUCAAAGAACUAAUGCUGGUGUCCCUACGGGUGAAGGACAUCCUUUCAGAAGCUUAUGAUCAAUGGAUCCAAAGGAUUGAUCAUUUUCUCGUUUUUAUUUUCUUUGUUUCUUUUUUUGUAUCUUAGCUUUUUUUCAUUCUUCACCUGUAUUGUUCUCGUGAACUCUUUUUUACCCAGUAAUAUAUAACCAUCUGCAAGGGCCACGGUCCCUCUAGUUCCCUUAAAAAAAACUGUCUCGCCUUGGUGUCUCUUCCUCGCCUUCUGUCGCCUUAUUACAUCCUUCUUAGGCUGGAGAGUGGAUACGCUAUGGGAUGGUGGCGUGGACGCGAGCGCACACUCUCCCUUUACCUUAUGCGGGCGGGUAGCGCUUCCGUUCAGUUUUUCUGUGACAAAGGGAUGCUUAGGCCCUUUUUAGUUCGUGAAAAAGAGUAAAAUCCACCGCCGGUCCUUAAAUUUGGCCAGCGGUGUCAUCUAGAUCUCUAAACUUUUAAAGUGAUAUCUGUGAGUCCGUAAAUUUAGCAGACUGUGUCAUCUAGAUCCCUGAAUUUUCAAGGUAAUCACCACAUGUCUCUAAACUUGGCUGGUGGUGUCAUUCCAGUCCUUGAACUUUCAAGGUCAUCACUGCAGGUCCCUAAACUUGGCAAGCGGUAUCAUCCUUGUCCAAAUAUGGUCUAACAUACUCUAUAAGUUGUCAUGAAUCCAAAAUAUGUCAAUAAAUCAAGCAUUAUUUAUCUAGUAUUUAUCAUGAAAAUAUAAAUUAUAUAAAAUAAUUUAUAUCAACAAAAAAUAAAUUAAAGUGUUAAAAUAAUUUACACCAACAAAUAU
rnacentral:lncRNA from 1 species